AUGUAUAGCUACAUACUACGUUCUAUACUACUCAAAUUUCGUCGUUGUCGGAGAUGGCCUGAGUCGCCUGCGCCGGAGCCGGAGCCGCCUGCGCCACCUGAGCCUCGGCCGACGGCGACGCCUGACCUCCGCAGCCGACUCCGCGCGGAUGGAGUUCAGGAUGGCGUGUUGCUCCGUCCACACGCCCACGUCCUCCUCCAUCGCAAGCGCCUCCUCCUCCCCCACAUCCAGCGGCGGCGCUUCCUCCGCGGGCUCCUGCUCCUCCUCCUCUUCCUCGCCCGCCGGCUCCUGCUCCUCCUUCUCUUCCUCGCCCAUUGGCUCCUGCUCCUCCUCCUCUUCCUCCUCCGCCGGCUCCUCCUCCUCCUCCUAAGCCGGCUCCUCCUCCUCCUCCUCUUCCUCCUCCGCCGGUUCCUCCUCCUCCUCCGCCGGCUCCUCCUCAUCCACCUCCUCAAAAUCCUCCUACGACUCCAGAGGUAG
rnacentral:rRNA from 1 species